ACGGGUGAGUAACGCGUGGGAACGUGCCCUUCGGUUCGGAAUAACUCAGGGAAACUUGAGCUAAUACCGGAUACGCCCUUAUGGGGAAAGGCUUGACUGCCGAAGGAUCGGCCCGCGUCUGAUUAGCUAGUUGGUGAGGUUACGGCUCACCAAGGCGACGAUCAGUAGCUGGUCUGAGAGGAUGAUCAGCCACACUGGGACUGAGACACGGCCCAGACUCCUACGGGAGGCAGCAGUGGGGAAUAUUGGACAAUGGGGGCAACCCUGAUCCAGCCAUGCCGCGUGAGUGAUGACGGCCUUGGGGUUGUAAAGCUCUUUUCUCCGGGACGAUAAUGACGGUACCGGAGGAAUAAGCCCCGGCUAACUUCGUGCCAGCAGCCGCGGUAAUACGAAGGGGGCUAGCGUUGCUCGGAAUCACUGGGCGUAAAGGGCGCGUAGGCGGCUGACUUAGUCGAGGGUGAAAGCCCGUGGCUCAACCACGGAAUGGCCUUCGAUACUGGUUGGCUUGAGACCGGAAGAGGACAGCGGAACUGCGAGUGUAGAGGUGAAAUUCGUAGA
rnacentral:rRNA from 1 species